rnacentral:rRNA from 1 species
UACGUAGGGGGCAAGCGUUGUCCGGAAUCAUUGGGCGUAAAGCGCGUGUAGGCGGUCCGGUAAGUCCGCUGUGGAAGUCGGGGGCUCAACCCUCGGAUGCCGGUGGAUACUGUCGGGCUUGAGUACGGAAGAGGCGAGUGGAAUUCCUGGUGUAGCGGUGAAAUGCGCAGAUAUCAAGGAGGAACACCAAUUGCGAAGGCAGCUCGCUGGGACGUUACUGACGCUGAGACGCGAAAGCGUGGGGAGCAAACAGG